UUAAAUACUGGGCAAACCUGCCGAAAGACAGGGGCGCAAAGCUAUAGGGCCUAUCUCUUAACGAACGGCAGCCAGUUGUAUUU
rnacentral:ncRNA from 2 species